ACCAUUAUGACUGGCAAACCCCAUCUACUAUUAUGACUAGCGACCCUUAUCUACCAUUAUGACUGGCGAACCCCUUCUACUGUUAUAACUGGAGAACCCCUUCUACUAAAAUGACUGGCGAACCCUUUCUACUAUUAUGACUAGCGACACUCACGUAGUAUUAUGACUUGCGAACCCCAUCUGUUAUUAUGACUGGCGACUCUCAUCUACUAUUAUGACUGGCGACCCUCAUCUACUAUUAUGACUGGCGAACCCCUUCUACUAUUAUUAGGACUGGCGACCCUCAUCCAGUUUUAUGACUCGUAUCCUAUGGGACACUAACUGCGCGUGCUUUCCGCGCGUGUCUACCACUCUAUGGAAAUACCAAAGACCUUAUAAUAUAUUACUAGACCGAAAGCUGCGUGCGCGUUCAGCACAAAACAAAUGAGAUUAGGCUCCGCCUACCGCGAUCAUUUGAAGACAAAAAUAAGCCCUCAUUGACAUUCAUGAGCAUGAAGAUAUUCAUAAUCCGGCCUUUUCAUUGGCUAAGAGCGUCAUUAAUACGCGAUUUCCCCGAUUCUUUUCAUCGAUACUAGUGGUAUCGUGUUACAGAAUUAAUUAUUCAUUUGACCUCAUUACGUCAUCUAAUUUAUUCAUUCUGAAACUUUUCUUUCCACACACAAGAUGGACCUACGAACACUCCGGUGAGUACGUAUUAAUUGAUAUAACCACAUGAAUUCAGUGGACUAUUUACACAUUUCACACUGUAUUUUGUGAUCUUAGGUUAUUUCUUUAACAAAUUAGAGAGUUUGCUAUCAUUCUUCUGUUAAAGGAAAGCAGAAUUUGGUCUUUGAAAUUGAAGUUAGAUUGUCAUCGUCGCCCAGUGCAGCCUGUACUGUAGGCUGUAUGUUGCUUGCAGUGUUGUGGUUAAGCCGUUAUAUUAUGCCGCUGUGUUAACCACAUGUAUUUUGUACGGGCUCCUAGCCGGCUGGGAAUCGAGAGAUAAUCGGGCUGGUUUGGUUCACCUCCAAUAAGGACCAACCCACGAUUGAUUAAAACAAGAAGAAUGAGGCUUCUUUUUGUGCACUGUACGUUAGAUCUAGAGGGAGAUCUGCAUCUAUCUUCAGUAGAUCGAGACUCAGUCAGGAAUAAACUGUGAAGCGGAGUGUGGAUGAAGAUACGCCUGUCAUUGUGUUAAUCCUCAGUCCUCACUUUGACUUGUUUCAGAUAUCAAAUUUAUUUUGCAUAACUUCAGGCUUCUGCAUUUAGCCCCCACCCAUUUUAACUCUUAUUGUUAUUUAUAAAUAUAGUUAGACUCGGUCUUAGAAAUAACAUGCUGCUCUGCAUGUUUGUCUUAUUAAUAUUAUCAAUAGAUCUAGGACCUAACGUUAGAUCUCUUAAUCCUAGGCCCUACUUACUUUAUACUUAGAUCUAGGCUAGGCUACUUUACUUUUAUUUAUUCAUCGAUGCUAUCAAGAGCUAGGCCUACCUAAUUCAAAUCUAGUCUAACUUAUACUUUCCCAAACCUCGACACUUACCCCCAGGGCUUAUGAUCUAGGUCUGUAAUUUAGGCCUAGAUCUAGGUCUGGGCCUAGACGACUCCAUUUACAUGUACGAGUAAUAUGACUGUCAGUGGACCAAGGACUAGAUCUAGAUCUACUCUCGGUCAAUAAUGGCAAUGAAGUCUUAGCCAGGAAUAAAAGUCAGAGUCAGACAUCAACAAUUUCUAAACCGAUAUAGGGUCUAGAUCUCGGUUUAGAACCGAAGCUUUACUUUCUAGGUCUAGAUAGAUCGAGAGUCCAUCGUUAGUCUAGAUCUAGACCUAAUUUAGAUACAUGAAUGCUGUCGCACAGCACUGAGUCUCGUUGGACUAGAUCUAUACUUUCUUACAAAUAGAUCUAGACCUAGUGCAUGAGAUUAUGAAAUUAUGUUAAAAUCAAAUGAAAUAAGAUUCGGAAAUAAAAAGAUCCAGAUUUUUUUUUUUUUGGGGGGGGGGGCAGACAUUUAGAGAAAAAAUUUAGAGAACCUAAAAUUCAGAAAGCGAGGGCCAGAAGCGACCAAUAUUACCUAGGACCGUUUUGUGCAUUUUCUAAAGUUAAAUUGAAGGAUGUCAUGCAAUUCUCUUUUUGAUGAAGGUUUCACAUUUCAGCUCUUACCCAAACCCCUCCCCCUAAACAUACGGCCAUGAAAAAGAUCACUUCUUAUUAUUGUUCUCUCUUUUCUUUCACAAACAGGUUGAGUUUGAAGAAUAAGAAAAACAGUAGAGGUCUACCUAUAUGGUUCAAGAUGAUGAUCAUAAGUGCAUGCAUCAUUUUGCAGAUUCUCAUUCAGGAUGACGCAGUUUUACAAUUUCCAUGGAGGUGAUUGAUGAUGAUAAAUAAUUGGUGAAGUAGGCCUAAUAGAACAGCGACUAGACCACAAAGAGAAAUACAACCUACUGCAGUUAUAUGAGACUGGUGUAACAGAUGUUUUCAUUCAAGAAAUCCAACAAUUCAAGAGUCUGACUUAGGAACCACUUGAUGAAGAUGGAAAAGGUUUUUUUUUUCCAAGUCCAAUUUAAAAAAAAAAAAAACCAAAAUUAUUAUCACAACCCCAAAUUCAUGACGUAUGAAAUUUCUUGUUGAUUUUCAUUAAAACUGGUUGCAAAAGGAGAAGCUAUAAACAUAGAAAUAGGAGUGGCGGAAUGAAGUUGAAAGUGGGGGGGGCAUAGGGAAAAUGCUGUAUUACGUGAAAUUUUUAAGAAGUUGCGAGCGAGCAAAAUUUUGACAUUUUUAAAAAGAAAAUCUAAAAUGUUCAGAAUGAUAUUUUUUUUUUUUGGGGGGGGGGGCAAGAGUCCUUCAAGCCCCCCCCCCUCCAUCUGUACGAAACUGCUUAUAUACCCCAACUCAUGAAUUAUUAAACUUAAUGCACAAAGGAUUUCCUUUAUAAGUAUAUUAUCGAAAUGAGAAUAUUGUUUUCUUGUUUCAAAGGGCAAUCGUCAUGGUGACUAUAAAACGGGUCCUUCUCAGGUGAAAGGGGCACAGAACAAGUUCUUUAGGAGCACUUUUCUUGGGUAAAAGGGGGCAGUGAUUCGAGAAAGGGCACUUACAAGAAGGCGAGGGGGCACUCUUUAACACAUGAAACGGGCCCUCAGAUGAAAGGGACACAGUACAGGUUCGUGAGGGGGCAUUUUUCUUGCAUAAAAAGGCACUUUUCAGUGAUUCAAGAAGUAGGGGGAGCUGUGUCCCCCCCCCCCCUCCCCAGGAUCGCUGCCCCAGCAUACAACAAAAAAUUAUUUUGGUUCAAAGUUUUAACAUACGCUUAAGAAAAAUGUAAAGCUUUAUCCUCUGAUAAUGUGAUAUUUUUUAUGGCUAAUUAAUAACAUUCACCACUAACCAGAAAAUUCCUUUAUGUCUUUCAUUUGUGUUCAUAUAGUAUUUGUACAGAGCUAAAAUGAAAGUGAUUUGGAAUGGGCAAAAUUCAAAAUGAGAUGAAGAUCGAGAGAGGGAAAGAGUGAUGAGAAGUGGGUUGAAAAGAAAUGGAGGGGCACAUAUGAAGAUAUAAUUUAGAGGGGGGUGGUAAGAGAGCUAGAAUGUGGGAAGUAGGAACAAAAGGGGUGGAAGAGAAAUAAGACGAGAUUUAUGGAAACCAGGAGAAGUGGGAAAAGAAGAAGGAAAUAUAUAAAGAGUUAAGGGCCACUUUAAACAAUUCCGAGAAAAACCAUGUUUUUAUUCUCACUUAUUGCAAUAUUCUUAUGAGAAACUAAAUUGUCAUGAUGUACUACUCUAUCAUGUGAACAUAAAUUGGGUAUAAAAGAAAUCUACCUGUCUUCAAUUUUUUUCUAUAUACUUU